UGGGGCAUCGCCAAGUGGUAAGGCAUCCGUUUUUGGUGCGGACAUUCCUAGGUUCGAAUCCUAGUGCCCCAGC
rnacentral:tRNA from 1 species